AUGUUCCUCUCUCCUCUUGAUCCCCAGGUCCUGUCUCUGUUAAACAUCUCUCCCUCUCUUUUACGUUCAGCUCCUCUUUUACAAGGCUGGGCUCGGGAAUUUCAGCGCAGCCAAGAGCCAUCUCCCCAUCCAUUAAGGCCCUGUGACAGCAGCAGGGCUUUUUCAGCUCCAAAGACCACAGGGUUGGGAAGAGGAGCCGUGGAGAUGCCGGCUCUGGCUGUCAGCAAAUCCAGCAGAUCCAGACAUGAAGAGCAGGCGAUAUUUCAUAAGCUUAGGAUGGGAUUUAGCUGUCCUGCAGAGCCCGGGAGAAAGGAGCACAGCCAGCAUUUCCCCAGGACUGGGGGAGUUAGCUGGAUCUCCACUUUUCUCCUGUCCCCAGGUAAUAGAGGCAUUUCUAAGCUGUGUUUGCUGGCUCCUCCAUCAUCCUGCCUCUACCAGCUUUGCCAGUAUGGAAUUAUGGAAUAUCCUAAAUGGGCAGGGACCCACGAGGAUCUCUGAAAUCCAGCUCCUGGCUCUGUAAAGGACAGCCCAACAAUCCCACCAUGUCCCUGGGGCUGUGGCCAUUCCCUGGGCAGCCUGGACAGGGAGACUUGAGCAGCCAGCUUCCAGAACCACUCUGGAGCUUGGAAAGAGGAUUAAUCCUGGCUCAGGACUUGCUGUGGUGGUGGAGAAAUGAAGGUGCAGAAGAGAGGAGAUAUCCCUCUGAGCUCCUUGCAGGAGGAUUUGCUCCUCCUAAGGCUCUCUGGGAGGAUGAAAUGGGGAUGUUGGAAGCUGGCAGGACAAGCUGCCAGGUGCUGGACUGGAGAUCUCCAGAGGUCCCUCCCAGCCAACAUGCUUCCCCAGACGCUGGAAUUAAAUGUCCUGUGAGAUGCAGCUGCCUGCAGUCACCAAGGCUGGUGUUGGGAUGUUUCCUUUUGCUUGAAUGAUUUCACACCUGGCACUUCACCCCUGCCCUCUCUCCUGCUCUGCCCCUAACCCGGCCACUCUUCUCCCAGAGCACAACUGUGGGAAGUUUUGUUGCUCCCAGACUGCCUUCCCACCCCUUAUCCUCUCUCCUAGGAAAAACUUCCUCUUGUGUCUCAUCCCCUCUCCCCUCCCCACGCUCGGGCUGUCACUCACUGUCCCAUUUCAGUGCCACUAUUCCCUUCCCGAGCACGCUCAGAUUGGAUAUUAGGAAAUAUUUCUUCCCUGAAAGGGUGGUCAGGCACUGGCCAGGCUGCCCAGGGUAGUGGUGGAUUUAAAAGGAAGGGAGGGAUUUAAAAGCUGCGUGGAUGUGGCACUUGAGGACAAGGAUUAGUGGUGGCCUUAGUGCUGGGGGAUGCUUGGAUGUGAUGAUCUCUGAGGACUUUGGGAUCACAAAAACCCUGGGAUUCUGUGGGCCACGUGCAAUGGUCCUUAGACCCUUUAGAAGCAGGAUGGAGUUUACAAUCCUCAGCUGGGCUCUGUGCUGUCCCUAGGCCCACCCUGGCAGUGCUGACAGUGAGAACUGCCUGGAGCA
rnacentral:lncRNA from 1 species